UGAGGAAUAUUGGGCAAUGGGCGGAAGCCUGACCCAGCAACGCCGCGUGGAGGAUGAAGGUUUUUGGAUUGUAAACUCCUUUUGUGGGGGAAGAGUGAGGACGGUACCCCAAGAAUAAGUCACGGCUAACUACGUGCCAGCAGCCGCGGUAAUACGUAGGUGACGAGCGUUAUCCGGAAUUAUUGGGCGUAAAGCGUACGCAGGCGGCUUAGCAAGUCUGACGUGAAAUCUCUCGGCUUAACUGGGAGAGGUCGUUGGAAACUGCUGGGCUUGAGGCAAGGAGAGGGGCGUGGAAUUCCCGGUGUAGUGGUGGAAUGCGUAGAUAUCGGGAGGAACAUCAGUGGCGCAAGCGGCGCCCUGGCCUUAGCCUGACGCUCAGGUGCGAAAGCGUGGGGAGCGAACG
rnacentral:rRNA from 1 species